rnacentral:rRNA from 1 species
UACGUAGGGGUCGAGCGUUGUCCGGAGUUACUGGGCGUAAAGCGUGCGCAGGCGGCUCAUUGCGCCCGGCGUGAAAGCCCCCGGCUCAACCGGGGAGGGUCGUCGGGGACGGGUGAGCUUGAGGGUAUCAGGGGUUGGUGGAAUUCCCGGUGUAGUGGUGAAAUGCGUAGAGAUCGGGAGGAACACCCGUGGCGAAGGCGGCCAACUGGGAUACACCUGACGCUGAGGCACGAAGGCGUGGGGAGCGAACGGGAUUAGAUACCCCGGUAGUCCACGCAGUAAACGAUGCAGACUAGGCGUGGGGGGACUUGACCCCCUCCGUGCCGGAGCUAACGCGGGAAGUCUGCCGCCUGGGGAGUACGGCCGCAAGGCUAAAACUCAAAGGAAUUGACGGGGGCCCGCACAAGCGGCGGAGCGUGCUCUUUAAUUCGUCGCAACGCGAAGAACCUUACCAGGGCUUGACAUGGAUCUGCAUCCCCGUGAAAGCGGGUGGCCUUCGAGGGUGAUCCACAGGUGCUGCAUGGCUGUCGUCAGCUCGUGUCGUGAGAUGUUGGGUUAAGUCCCGCAACGAGCGCAACCCUUGUAUCCAGUUGCGAUUUUCUGGACAGACUGCCGGGAGCAAACCGGAGGAAGGUGGGGAUGAUGUCAAGUCAGCAUGGCCCUUACGCCCUGGGCGAGAAGCACGCUACAAUGGCCGGGACAGAGGGUUGCCAAGCGGUAACGUGGAGCUAAUCCCAGAAACCCGGUCUCAGUUCGGAUCGUGGGCUGCAACUCGCCCACGUGAAGGUGGAGUCGCUAGUAACCGCAGGUCAGCAGUACUGCGGUGAAUAUGUUCCCGGGCCU